ACGGCAUUUCGAACUGUCAGGCUAGAGUAUGGUAGAGGGUAGUGGAAUUUCCUGUGUAGCGGUGAAAAUGCGUAGAUAUAGGAAGGAACACCAGUGGCGAAGGCGGCUACCUGGACCAAUACUGACACUGAGGUGCGGAAGCGUGGGGAGCAAACAGGAUUAGAUACCCUGGUAGUCCACGCCGUAAACGAUGUCUACUAGCCGUUGGGACUCUUGAAGUCUUAGUGGCGCAGCUAACGCACUAAGUAGACCGCCUGGGGAGUACGGCCGCAAGGUUAAAACUCAAAUGAAUUGACGGGGGCCCGCACAAGCGGUGGAGCAUGUGGUUUAAUUCGACGCAACGCGAAGAACCUUACCUGGCCUUGACAUGCAGAGAACUUUCCAGAGAUGGAUUGGUGCCUUCGGGAACUCUGACACAGGUGCUGCAUGGCCGUCGUCAGCUCGUGUCGUGAGAUGUUGGGUUAAGUCCCGUAACGAGCGCAACCCCUAUCCCUAGUUGCUAGCAGUUCGGCUGAGAACUCUAGGGAGACUGCCGGUGACAAACCGGAGGAAGGUGGGGAUGACGUCAGGUCAUCAUGGCCCUUACGGCCAGGGCUACACACGUGCUACAAUGGUGCGCACAGAGGGCUGCAAACCCGCGAGGGGGAGCCAAUCUCACAAAACGCAUCGUAGUCCGGAUCGCAGUCUGCAACUCGACUGCGUGAAGUCGGAAUCGCUAGUAAUCGUGAAUCAGAAUGUCACGGUGAAUACGUUCCCGGGCCUUGUACACACCGCCCGUCACACCAUGGGAGUGGAUUGCACCAGAAGUGGUUAGUC
rnacentral:rRNA from 1 species